UCGAGUGCACUGGCCCAACUGAUCUGACGUGCUUGCACUGAAGUGACGAUGGAUUACCAGUGAGCGGCGGACGGGUGAGUAACACGUGGGCAACCUGCCCUGAAGCGGGGGAUAACAUUUGGAAACAGGUGCUAAUACCGCAUAACAACGAAAACCACAUGGUUUUCAUUUGAAAGAUGGUUUCGGCUAUCACUUCAGGAUGGGCCCGCGGUGCAUUAGCUAGUUGGUAGGGUAAUGGCCUACCAAGGCAAUGAUGCAUAGCCGAGUUGAGAGACUGAUCGGCCACAAUGGAACUGAGACACGGUCCAUACUCCUACGGGAGGCAGCAGUAGGGAACCUUCCACAAUGAGCGCAAGCCUGAUGGAGCGACACCGCGUGAGUGAAGAAGGGUUUCGGCUCGUAAAACUCUGUUGUUGAAGAAGAACGUGCGUGAGAGUAACUGUUCACGCAGUGACGGUAUUCAACCAGAAAGUCACGGCUAACUACGUG
rnacentral:rRNA from 1 species